GGUAUUUUGACCGUGCAAAGGUAGCAUAAUCAUUAGUUUUUUAAUUGAAAGCUGGAAUGAAAGGUUGGAUGAAAAAUAAGCUGUCUCUAUUUAAAUUUAUUAGAAUUUUAUUUUUAAGUUAAAAAGCUUAAAUUUUAAUAGAAGACGAGAAGACCCUAUAGAGUUUUAUUUAUUUUAUAAAUAAAAAUAAUAGUAUUAAUUAUUUUUAUUUAUUAAAUAAAUUUAGUUGGGGUGAUUGAAAAAUUUAAUAAACUUUUUUUAUAUACAUACAUUAAUUUAUGAUUAUUUGAUCCUUAGUUUAAGAUUAAAAGAUGAAAUUACCUUAGGGAUAACAGCGUAAUUUUUUUUGAGAGUUCUAAUCGAAAAAAAAGAUUGCGACCUCGAUGUUGGAUUAAAAUAAAAUUUUGGUGUAGAAGCUAAAA
rnacentral:rRNA from 2 species